rnacentral:rRNA from 1 species
UGAGUAAUAUAUCGGAACGUGCCCAGUCGUGGGGGAUAACGUAGAGAAAUUUACGCUAAUACCGCAUACGGUCUAAGGAUGAAAGCGGGGGAUUCGCAAGGACCUCGCGCGAUUGGAGCGGCUGAUAUCAGAUUAGGUUGUUGGUGAGGUAAAAGCUCACCAAGCCGACGAUCUGUAGCUGGUUUGAGAGAACGACCAGCCACACUGGGACUGAGACACGGCCCAGACUCCUACGGGAGGCAGCAGUGGGGAAUUUUGGACAAUGGGCGAAAGCCUGAUCCAGCAAUGCCGCGUGUGGGAAGAAGGCCUUCGGGUUGUAAACCACUUUUGUACGGAACGAAACGGUUCGCUUUAAUACAGUGGGCUUAAUGACGGUACCGUAAGAAUAAGCACCGGCUAACUAC